rnacentral:tRNA from 1 species
AAGGGAGACCUAAUUCAGGUAGGAGACGAAAAAAAGUAGUCCCUACCAAGAAUCAAUCCCAAAAGGUCGGAGCGAGGCAAAAUUGGCUUUCAAACUAGGUUCUGGGUUCACACAAGACCUGAAUCAGGAACAAGGGCUAUUAGCUCAGGUGGUUAGAGCGCACCCCUGAUAAGGGUGAGGUCCCUGGUUCGAGUCCAGGAUGGCCCACCUGCACAGGUGGAAGAAAGAAAAGAAGCUCCGAAUCAGCACCUUAUCUUACUUAUAUAGUAAGAGAGAAUGCUGGCUCUGAGUACAGAGUCCAGAGGAACCUUGAAAACUGCAUAGAGCUAGGUGAAAAAGCCAAAAAAGAAGACCGCAA